rnacentral:rRNA from 1 species
GAUGAACGCUAGCGGCGCGCCUAAUGCAUGCAAGUCGAGCGGGUUCGCUUUCGGGCGGAUCAGCGGCGGACGGGUGAGUAACACGUACGCAAUCUUUCUCCCAGUGGGGGACAACCUCGGGAAACCGGGGCUAAUCCCGCAUACGCCUAGUUGGGGCAACCUUACUAGGCAAAGGGCUUCGGUUCGCUGGGAGCCGAGCGUGCGGCCUAUCAGCUAGUUGGUGGGGUAAAGGCCUACCAAGGCUCCGACGGGUAGCCGGACUGAGAGGUCGACCGGCCACAUGGGGACUGAGACACGGCCCCAACUCCUUCGGGAGGCAGCAGCAGGGAAUCUUGCGCAAUGGGGGCGAACCUGACGCAGCGACGCCGCGUGGGCGAUGAAGGCCUUCGGGUCGUAA